rnacentral:rRNA from 1 species
GCUUACGGCCAUACCACCUGAACACGCCCGAUCUCGGAAGCUAAGCAGGGUCGGGCCUGGUUAGUACUUGGAUGGGAGACGCCUGGGAAUACCAGGUGCUGUAAGCU